rnacentral:rRNA from 1 species
GGCAAACGGGUGAGUAACACGUUGAGCAACUUACCCUUCAGACAGGAAUAGCUUUGUGAAAACGGAGGUAAUUCCUGAUGACAUCCCGAGGAUGCAUGUCCUUGGGAUUAAAGGUUGGGACCGUAAGGCCUACCACUGAGGGAUGGGCUCGCGUCCUAUCAGCUAGUUGGCGGGGUAAUGGCCCACCAAGGCGUAUGACGGGUAGCUGGUCUGAGAGGAUGGUCAGCCACACUGGGACUGAGACACUGCCCAGACUCCUACGGGAGGCUGCAGUCGAGAGUAUUUAGCAAUGGGCGAAAGCCUGACUAUGCGACGCCGCGUGAAGGAUGAAGGUUUUCGGAUUGUAAACUUCUUUUGUCAGGGAAGAAACUCCUGUCGUUAAUAGCGGCAGGACUGAC